rnacentral:rRNA from 1 species
GUCCUACGGGGGGCAGCAGUGGGGAAUAUUGCACAAUGGGGGAAACCCUGAUGCAGCGACGCCGCGUGAGCGAUGAAGUAUUUCGGUAUGUAAAGCUCUAUCAGCAGGGAAGAAAAUGACGGUACCUGACUAAGAAGCCCCGGCUAACUACGUGCCAGCAGCCGCGGUAAUACGUAUGGAGCAAGCGUUAUCCGGAUUUACUGGGUGUAAAGGGAGCGCAGACGGCAGGGCAAGUCUGAUGUGAAAGUCCGGGGCUCAACCCCGGGACUGCAUUGGAAACUGUCCGGCUAGAGUGCAGGAGAGGU